rnacentral:rRNA from 1 species
AGUCGAGCGGUUGAGGGGAGCUUGCUUCCCGAUUCAGCGGCGGACGGGUGAGUAAUGCCUAGGAAUCUGCCUGGUAGUGGGGGACAACGUUUCGAAAGGAACGCUAAUACCGCAUACGUCCUACGGGAGAAAGCAGGGGACCUUCGGGCCUUGCGCUAUCAGAUGAGCCUAGGUCGGAUUAGCUAGUUGGUGGGGUAAAGGCUCACCAAGGCGACGAUCCGUAACUGGUCUGAGAGGAUGAUCAGUCACACUGGAACUGAGACACGGUCCAGACUCCUACGGGAGGCAGCAGUGGGGAAUUUUGGACAAUGGGCGCAAGCCUGAUCCAGCAAUGCCGCGUGAGUGAAGAAGGCCUUCGGGUUGUAAAGCUCUUUUGUCAGGGAAGAAACGGCUGGGGAUAAUACCCUCGGCUAAUGACGGUACCUGAAGAAUAAGCACCGGCUAACUACGUGCCAGCAGCCGCGGUAAUACGUAGGGUGCAAGCGUUAAUCGGAAUUACUGGGCGUAAAGCGUGCGCAGGCGGUUUUGUAAGUCUGUCGUGAAAGCCCCGGGCUCAACCUGGGAAUUGCGAUGGAGACUGCAAGGCUUGAAUCUGGCAGAGGGGGGUAGAAUUCCACGUGUAGCAGUGAAAUGCGUAGAGAUGUGGAGGAACUCCGAUGGCGAAGGCAGCCCCCUGGGUCAAGAUUGACGCUCAUGCACGAAAGCGUGGGGAGCAAACAGGAUUAGAUACCCUGGUAGUCCACGCCCUAAACGAUGUCUACUAGUUGUCGGGUCUUAAUUGACUUGGUAACGCAGCUAACGCGUGAAGUAGACCGCCUGGGGAGUACGGUCGCAAGAUUAAAACUCAAAGGAAUUGAC